rnacentral:pre_miRNA from 1 species
UUAACUCACAUUUGUAUGAAGUUGGAAUACCUUCCCUAUGUUUGCCGCUAGAGGCAAUGUUCCAACUCCAUACAAAUUCCAACUC